GUGUAGCUUGUUGACAAUGAGAGCUGAUGGCAGGCUUUAAGUGGGAUAGUUCUGUAAUGUUCGCACUACAGAAGCAGUCGCUCUCUGGAACUGGUUGAGGAGGAACAACAUGGUGUUCAAAAUGAUUUGGAAAACCGUAGUGAUUUUGGUGACAGUGGAAGGGAGAGCCAUGCUGACGAUGAGUAGGAGUCAUCGGGUGUAGAUCUGUUGGAACGAUGGCAAUGUAGAAGCCAUGAUGAGGGGGGCUGUUUCUAGGUUGGGUGAAUGACAGGACCAUCUGUUAAAUCCAAAAAUACAGGAAUCAUCUGUUGGAAAAGGACAGAACGGUGGUCGGAGGAACAGCUCGAGCUUGAUGUCAGGUCCUGGCCACGAAAGAGAAGAACCCUGCAGAGACCAACGAGUUUGUAACCAGGACCCUUCCACAGAGGAUCUGCUACUGAUGGAUCUUCUACUCCCUUACCCACCUACUAUGGCCCUAGUUCCCACGGCCCCUCCUCAGAGAUCUCCUUUGAGCUCUCAUCCAUUGUCCCUUUACCCCACCCUUUCUCAGGCCUCAGCAAGUGGGGAGUGUGAGGAGGGACCCUCAGAACUGGGACCGGCCAUGGGGACCUGGACCAAGAGGACCACUUCACCCGAUGCAACAGUGGCCCUCCCUGUCCAAGCCUAUGGACCCAUAAAUGAGGAUGGCAAUCAGGCCAUGCAAUAUUGGCCCCUUUCUUUGGCUGACUUGUACAACUGGAAAGGCCAACACCCCCCUUUUCAGAUAACCCCAAGGGGCUGAUUAACCUCUUUAACGCUGUUUUAUUUACUCCUCAGCCCACCUGGGAUGAUAGCCAACAACGCAUGAGAGUGUUUUCAUGACCAGAGAGUGAGAAAGGAUAAUGCAGGAAGCCAGAAAGAAUGUUCCCUCAGACACAGGGGCACCACCGAUUGAUCAGGCUGUCAUCAACAGCAGAUUUUCCCUGACUAGACCUGACUGGGACUACUGAUACAGCAGGAUAUAAGGAGCACUGAAGGUCUACCACCAGACUCUGUUGGCAGGGAUCAUGGGGGUCGCAGGAAGACCAAGGUAUGUGAGGUUAAGCAGGGACCAGACAAGUCACCCUCAGCCUUUCUAGAGUGGCUCAUGGAGGCAUUCUGCCAAUAUACACACUAUGACCCCAGCAUUGAGGAGCAUAAAGCUACUGUGACCUUGGCUUUUAUCCAGGCUAGUAGAGAUAUCAGGAAAAAGCUUCAGGGGCUAAAGGGACUGUAGUAUAAGUUGUUGAGGGAUUUAGUGCAGGCUGCUGGGCAGGUCUACCAUAACAGGGGGACAGGGGAGGAGAAGGAACAGAGAAAGAGAAAGGAAGAAGACAAAAGGGAGAUACAAAAAGAAAGGUGACAGGAAAAGAAUUUACUGUAGAAUCUUGGCUACAGUAGUAGCCAGAGCAUUGGGCACAGUUGCUGGAACCCCAGUGGAAGGGACCCUUCCUAGUACUUAACCACUCCUACAGUCCUUAAGGUGGACGAUAUUGCAGCCCUGGUGCAUGCAUCCCAUGUGAAACCUGCAGACGCCUCACUCCCCAGGGACUCCUGCUGCCCCAUGUGUUGGUCUAUCAAACCUGGAGUGUGGUUUCUCCUGGAACUGGAGAUGAGGUCACCUCCCUGACUGCCUCCAAACCCCUCAACAUCCGGUGGCCUGACCUCACUUUUAACCUGUGUCAGCUGGCAGCAGGACUUGACUCAUGGGACAUCCCCAGCUAUGAUGUGAGUGCUGGCAGAAGCAAACUGCCCAUAUAGGAGAAAGAGGGCUCAGGGCUGGGAGAGGGGUGAUGAGAUGUGCAUUCCCUGCACAGAGAUGUCACUUGAGGAAGACCCCCCCCCCCACACACACACACACACUCAUAUUUAGCCUCAAUGAAAGAAACUGGGUAGAAGGUCACCGAUAUCGGGUUCCACACCAGUUUUAUUGUGCCGCCUGGGGAUGCCAGACUACAAGAGACACCUACUGGAACCCCUCCUCCUCUUGGGACUUGAUCAUGAUAAAAAUUUACACUCCUGAGGGGCCCUACCAGAGGAACAGAGGGUACUGAGAUACCCUCUGUGCAAAUGCUACCUAUGACCCAAUAAUCAGAUUCACUCAGAAAGGCAAAGAACCAAUGAAAUAGCUAAGGAGAAAAGCUUAGGGAGUCAGGUUGUACAAAUUGUGGUAUGAUGACCAAGAUGAGAGAAAGGCUAGCCAAACGGAAGUGAGAGAACAGUCAGGGAUGGUUCGAAGCUUGGUUUAACUCAUUCCCUUAGCUAACCACCCUCAUAUCCAUCUUGUUAGGACCCUUAAUUGUUCUGCUAUUGUUGACCUUUAGACCCUGCAUAUUGAACAAGUGUAUAGCCUUCAUAAAAGAAAAAAUAGGUACAGUACAGCUGUUGGUCCUGCGCCAACAAUAUGAGACCUUGAGGGCAGGACCUAAAAAAAAUGAGUUGUCACCAGAGAUUGUGAGCAUAGCUCUAAGAUUGGAGCUUGUACAAGAAAAAGGGGGGGAAUGAAGGACCCUAGUUCUUACUGAAGUGUAAGAGCUAUUAAGAGGCUUGGCCUGGUAGAAGGUAGGUAGGUUAUGGAGUUCCUGUGAAGGACCCUAAGGGCUUUCACCUCCUUUACACCCACCACCUCAGUCAAGAUUAGGACAAGUACCAGCUUCCCACCUCGGGUCAAGGCUAUUGUUCCAUUUUCCACCCACACUUCUGGGGAGGAGCAGGGACAAUCUUGAAAAACCACAGAAUGCACUGAGUGAUAGUCACCUGACCCUCUGGUCCCAGAUAGAGUUUGAAUGCAUGUCCUUGCUUGCUAGCCAAUAGAUUCAAAGGUCAAUAUGCUUAGCCAAUAAGUUUAAACUGUAACCUUGCUGAUGUAACCUGUAGCCCUAAAAAGUAUAAAAACUGCUUAUUAUAGCCAUUUGGGGUUGCCUUCUAGUCAUUUGCCACGAGGGGAUGAUUGAAGGUCGACCUCAAUGCACCAGAAAAUAAACCUCUUGUGUUUUCGUCGCACUCCAUUCUCGUAUCUCACCUGAGGGCUCUCCCGGUAGUUAAGACGCACUUUGAGCCUUACGAUGGCCUGUGGGAUUUCUGUUUGGUUAGAUGCGGUUGGCAGUUAGGAGUCUGGCAUUUUGGAUAAAGGUUUGAGUUUUAAGAGUUAUCUGCCCUUUGUUGGUCUACCUAAAAUCACAGGAGAGAAUGAGACUGUGCAAGGAAAGGGGAGCAAGAGUGAUGAGCAAAAGCCCAAACUCAGGAGAAAUUGGACAGUCUAGAAAGGAAACCGAGAGUCACCCGACAAGAGACGGGCCAAGGAAGUAUGGGGUCCCAGAAGCUUAGGAUAUGAAUAUCUCAGAGGAGCGAGGGAGCCAUGUUGCUCAACAUAUCAAUGACAUCAAGGGAGCCAAAGCUUAGACUUGACACAAUUCAGGUCAUGGGCAUGCCCAGUGAGAGCAUCUUCAGAGAAGGGAUGGGGUGGCAUUAGCCUGAGAUAACUCAUUUAAAGAAGAAAAACUUCAUUCUGGCUCUCGUGGGUUUAGAGGUUCUAGUCCAGGAUCAAAUGAGUGGAUUGUAAAGAGACAGACACCACACAGGGGUGGCUCGACAGAGGAAAAUGGCUAGCCCUAGGGGCUGAGAGCACAAGGAAGCAGGUGAGCUGGAAACGGAAUAUAUCCCUGAGGGCAUCUUCUCUCCAAAGGGCUACUCCUUUCAAUUAGGCACGCCCACUUCCAUUUCUAUUGCCUCCCAAUAACAGAUCAAAUUAUAAAUCCAUGGACGGAUAAUCCAUGAAUGUUAUCGGAGGCCUCACAGUCUGAUCACGUCUCUAAACGCCGCCACUGAAUUUUCUCUGCUGAGUUCUCAGCAUACGAAAGGGAUGUUUCAGUCAGAACCUAACUGUAACAGAGAAGUGAUGCUGACUGCAAUUGUUACCUCAACGAGAUCUAGAAUUGUCAGGAAAUGGGUCUCUGGGCAUCCCGUGAGGGCUUGUCUUUAUCCACCCACUGUGGAUGGUACCAUUUCCUGGGAUGGGAUCCACACUGAGCAAAAUGGAGAACAUGAGCUGAGCGCAUGCGCGUACCAUUCUCUUUCUUGACACUGGAUACAGCUGCGUCUGGCUCCGGCCCUUGUGACUUCUCCACCAAGAUAGACUGACUGUAUCCUAGAACUGUGAGCCGAGGUAAACCCAUAAGCUGCUUUCCUCAGAGUGGUUUACCACAGAAACAAGAAAAAUAACUAAUGGGCAAGAGCACCGGGUAGAAGAUGACACAGAAAGCACAAUGGGAUUUGCUCCUUCAAGAGAAGAAUGUGAUUGUUUUUUUGGAGAGUAGAGAGGCUAUGCAGCCUGCAGAGCUGCUUCAUGCACUGAUGGAUUGAGAAUGCUUUUCCCAGAGACGCUGCCUUCCUGGGUGUUCUGAGUUUCCUGGUGUUACCUGGUUUUCCCAGAUGUCCCGGCUUUCUGGAAGGCGAUGCGUUCCCAUGCGGGCGGCAUUUCCUGGAUGUACUUCAUUCCCAGAGUCUUUGCAAUUCAUUCCAAUGUAAGGCAGAGGAGAUGUUCUGCUUUGCCUGUUUAAAAAAAAGAGAGAAGUUUGACUCUUGUAAACCUUGAAGACAUUCUGUCAAGUGGAAUUAUCCUGUCACAAAAGAUAAAUAUGAUCCCACUUGGGCGAGGUAUCCCUCACCUCCACCUACCUCCAGAACUGUUUUCGUCUUCUACAAACAGUAACUCCUCGAACCGCCCUCCCUUCAACCUUUGGCGUUUACCAUUUUAUGUUGUGUCUCAGUGAAGUUGGGUGUUCUAGACACCCCGAUGGGUACAUGGGGUGAUGGUUCUUUGUGUCUCUCUGACAUCACCUAGCAUAGUAUCUGCAGAUAUGUUCAUGUCACAACACAGGAAAGGACAGGUGUCACCACAAGACACCUCACAAAGCAAGUUCCAGCACAGCCAUCACUCACUCCAGCCCAGAUUUCUUAUUCAGUUCACUUAGCGCAUAUUUAUGGAGCAUAUUCGAGAUGCUCUACCAUUUUGGAGUGCCCCGAGCUGUUGAAGAGAUCAAGACAGGAAGUCCCAGUGCCCUUAGGCAGGGAUGAACAGGCCACUGAAGAGGCUGUGGGAAGAACACACGGGUGAGAAAAGGUAUCCAGUUAGGGUUUGGUUAAAGAAGCAGAAAGUGGUUGUAACCAGCAUGGAAUGAGCAGGGAGCAGGUGACCAAGGCCAGCAGGACAGACCACAAAGGCAAUCUGAAAAGUGCUACAGGUUAUAGGAAAGUAAGAGAGGAGCACCAGGAGGAGCACCGCGGAGCACAGGAGGAGCACCGCAGAGCACAGGAGGAGCACCGCAGAGCAUAGGAGGAGCACCACAGAGCAUAGGAGGAGCACCACAGAGCAUAGGAGGAGCACUACAGAGCACAGGAGGAGCACCACAGAGCAUAGGAGGAGCACCACAGGGCAGGAGGAGCACCACAGAGCACAGGAGGAGCACCACAGAGCACAGGAGGAGCACCACAGAGCACAGGAGGAGGACCGCAGAGCACAGGAGGAGCACAGCGGAGCACAGGAGGAGCACUACAGAGCACAGGAGGAGCACCACAGAGCAUAGGAGGAGCACCACAGAGCACAGGAGGAGCACUACAGAGCACAGGAGGAGCACCACAGAGCAUAGGAGGAGCACUACAGAGCACAGGAGGAGCACCACAGAGCAUAGGAGGAGCACCACAGGGCAGGAGGAGCACCGCAGAGCACAGGAGGAGCACCACAGAGCACAGGAGGAGCACCACAGAGCAUAGGAGGAGCUCCACAGAACAUAGGAGGAGCACCGCAGAGCACAGGAGGAGCACCGCAGAGCAUAGGAGGAGCACUGCAGAGCAUAGGAGGAGCACUACAGAGCACAGGAGGAGCACCACAGAGCAUAGGAGGAGCACCACAGAGCACAGGAGGAGCACCACAGAGCACAGGAGGAGGACCGCAGAGCACAGGAGGAGCACAGCGGAGCACAAGAGGAGCACCACAGAGCACAGGAGGAGCACCACAGAGCAUAGGAGGAGCACUACAGAGCACAGGAGGAGCACUACAGAGCAUAGGAGGAGCACCACAGGGCAGGAGGAGCACCACAGAGCACAGGAGGAGCACCACAGAGCAUAGGAGGAGCACUACAGAGCACAGGAGGAGCACCGCAGAGCAAUGCUCUGAAGCACUUAUUCAACGCCCUGCCUGCAGCUGUAGGUAGAAGCAAUGAUCCAAGUCUCUGCCUCCUUCUGCCUUCGUUGUUCUGAGAAAAUCACAGGCAGGGCCACAGAGAGCCCAUUCACCUGUUCUGCGUCCAUGGAACUGCAGACACCAUGGUAGAGGAAAACUUCUAUCCUCUGUCUUACUGUAGCUAAUGGUAUGCUGGCUUUGUCUUAAUCUUUUUUUUUUUUUUCUAACUAUCCAGGAGUUGAAGCCUAUGUCCAUCUCCACUCCAACUGAAGGGAAGCUUGUUAAGGAAGUAAACAAAACUUCUGAGUCUCAAGAAGCUAUGGAAACUCACAAGAGGUCCCCUCCCUUCCCAACACUGUAUGAGCAGUGACAUUUGCUGGAGGAGGGAAGAAAGGGGGGGGGACGUGACUGGAGCCCAGGCAAGCUGGGUCACACCGAGAGUCGUGCAGAAAGCUCUGGAUAUAUGAUUACCAGUUUGAGGAUGAGUUUUUCAGCAGUCUUUGCAUCACCAUGCUCCUAUAAGCAAGUAACCCUAAUAAAUUCACUGGCUCACAACAGUACUUUGGUCCGUCAUGGAUGUCCUAUCUGGGUCAAUAGACAUUUCCUCGUAUCUCCCCAGAACACAUAAAUUCUUAUUUUCACCUGUUCUUAAAGCCCCAGACCCAGAACCAUUCCUCUGUAACACCCGUCAGCUGUCCAGCCUUCCUCCUUUGGUCUCUAAGGUCCUAGCAGCUUCCUUGGUACCUGCAUCCCGAUACCUGCUCUACAAGCCCCGAGAAACAGGAGCGCUGCACCCAGACUGUCAUCUUGCUUUUAGACCAUGUUGAACCUCACGAGAACUGAGUGGUGUGGAUUCCUGCAUAAUGGCUGAUACUCAACUCAGGAGCAGGGCACAAAGCUGGAAACAGAGUCUAGCCAGACUCCAGCUCCUCCAGCUGCUUCAUUUAGCAAUGAGGAGAGCAAUGAGGAGAAGGGCAAUGAGGAGAGCAAUAGCUUGCAACUUCCGGGAGGCUGUAACCCUUGUAAGUUUGCAGCCCAAAAAGGAGGGAAGGUAGAAGAGAGUCCUGGCUGAGGUUCAGGCACUUGCUGUCAUUCCCCACCCCCACCCCAUCUUGCCUCUCCUCUGUGGUAGUCAUCUCACGAAUGGCCCACACUUAUCCCUACAAAUAUCUCUUCAGUUAUCUCCUUUCCCAUGCCUUACUUCACCCAAACCAGCAAGCCAGCCCGCUUUCCCAAGCCAGGUCCCUGGCACACAGAACGUGCUUUAUUAAAAAAAAAUGCAUAUUGUAAAACUAAA